rnacentral:misc_RNA from 1 species
AAGUCGUGACAAGGUUUCCGUAGGUGAACCUGCGGAAGGAUCAUUAGUGAAUUUUAGGGCGCGAGCUUGCUCGGCCUGACCUCCACUUCUAACACUGUGCACUUGAUGGCUUGUCCUUAUGGACUUGCCUUUUACUUUUUUAAACACAAGUCCAAGAAUGUAACGAAAUAUCGAAACAAAAAAAG